rnacentral:rRNA from 1 species
GAUGAACGCUGGCGGUGUGCCUAAUACAUGCAAGUCGAGCGAACGGACGAGAAGCUUGCUUCUCUGAUGUUAGCGGCGGACGGGUGAGUAACACGUGGAUAACCUACCUAUAAGACUGGGAUAACUUCGGGAAACCGGAGCUAAUACCGGAUAAUAUUUUGAACCGCAUGGUUCAAAAGUGAAAGACGGUCUUGCUGUCACUUAUAGAUGGAUCCGCGCUGCAUUAGCUAGUUGGUAAGGUAACGGCUUACCAAGGCAACGAUGCAUAGCCGACCUGAGAGGGUGAUCGGCCACACUGGAACUGAGACACGGUCCAGACUCCUACGGGAGGCAGCAGUAGGGAAUCUUCCGCAAUGGGCGAAAGCCUGACGGAGCAACGCCGCGUGAGUGAUGAAGGUCUUCGGAUCGUAAAACUCUGUUAGUAGGGAAGAACAUAUGUGUAAGUAACUGUGCACAUCUUGACGGUACCUAAUCAGAAAGCCACGGCUAACUACGUG